UACGUAGGGUGCGAGCGUUAAUCGGAAUUACUGGGCGUAAAGCGUGCGCAGGCGGUUCGUUAAGUCAGAUGUGAAAGCCCCGGGCUCAACCUGGGAACUGCAUUUGAAACUGGCGGGCUUGAGUAUGGCAGAGGGGGGUGGGAAUUCCGCGUGUAGCAGUGAAAUGCGUAGAGAUGCGGAGGAACACCGAUGGCGAAGGCAGCCCCCUGGGCCAAUACUGACGCUCAGGCACGAAAGCGUGGGGAGCAAACAGG
rnacentral:rRNA from 1 species